rnacentral:rRNA from 1 species
GACGUAGGGUGCGAGCGUUGUCCGGAUUUAUUGGGCGUAAAGAGCUCGUAGGCGGCUCGUCGCGUCGACCGUGAAAACCCGCAGCUUAACUGCGGGCCUGCGGUUGAUACGGGCGGGCUAGAGUUCGGUAGGGGAGACUGGAAUUCCUGGUGUAGCGGUGAAAUGCGCAGAUAUCAGGAGGAACACCGGUGGCGAAGGCGGGUCUCUGGGCCGAUACUGACGCUGAGGAGCGAAAGCGUGGGGAGCGAACAGG